UACGGGGGGGGCAAGCGUUGUUCGGAAUUACUGGGCGUAAAGGGCUCGUAGGCGGCCAACUAAGUCAGACGUGAAAUCCCCAGGCUUAACCUGGGAACUGCGUCUGAUACUGGGUGGCUUGAAUCCGGGAGAGGGAUGCGGAAUUCCAGGUGUAGCGGUGAAAUGCGUAGAUAUCUGGAGGAACACCGGUGGCGAAGGCGGCAUCCUGGACCGGCAUUGACGCUGAGGCGCGAAGGCGUGGGGAGCGAACGGG
rnacentral:rRNA from 1 species